ensembl:lincRNA
UUCCAGGUCUUGAGCCCCGAGCACAGCCGAAGUCUGUCGCUGUAACUGCUGUCACCAGAGACGCACUAGGAAACCUUCCCUCUGUGGUUGGGAGAGGACCAGGGGCUGGGCUGGCCGGCAGGGAGGGCAUGGGGCAUGUGCUAGUCAGCCCUCUGCAGGCAGGAGCCACGGGGGCAGCGCUGAUUGCCCGCUGCGGCAGUCUCAGAGGACCCCGGACUCAGAGUCAAGCUUAGCCUGUGUCGUUGGGCUCGGGUGAGGCUGCUACCCUUCCAUUCCUGGGCUGCCCUUUGGUCACAGCUGGACAGGCACAGGUGGCUACCAACUACCUCUUCCCAGUGGGCCCUUUUUGUUUUUCAGUACUGGGGAUUUGACCUGGGGCCUUCAUAUCAAGCUGCACCCCUUGCACCUUUUUAUUUGGAGACUGAUUCUCACUAAGUUCCACUGAGCCUGAACUUGCCAUCCUCCUGCCUCAGCCUCCCAGAGUGCUGGGAUGCCGGGUAUGCACCACCAUGCCCAGCCCCUGCUGAUCUUUUGAGAGGAAGUGAGUCCGCAGCCCGCCCUCCUCCUCCCCACAGGUAAAGCAGCCUUCUCAGCCGCAGUGCAUCCUUGAGUGGCCUUGUCCUUCAGGCGUGCUGUACAGAAUGCUGCCCGAGUCAGCGUUUUCUGAUGCUUGUUCACAGAGACCCUCCGGCCCAGGCAAAACUCUGUCCACUCCGCAGCUGGACACGCCGAGGCUCCAAGCCAGCACCACACAGCGCUCGAGCAAAGAGAGACAGCUCCAUGCGCCUGUGAGCUCCGUGCAUGGGAAGGCGGUGCUUCGGGGCAGAAUUGCUGGCUGUGACCUCUGGAGGGAUGGGACAGCCCUCUCCACUCCACACGCCUGCUUCCCGGGAGCGCAGAGGGGGACUGGGGGACCAGGGAGCCUGAGGCUGGAGGCAGAGGCCAGUCCUGGCCUGAGGGGCCUGGUGGCGCCUGUCGCUCUGGCUGUGUGUCCCUGGCUCUGGGGAAGCCCCAGGGAGGAGACGCUGGUCCCUGGGGUUCAGCCUCAGGCAUGUUGGCCUCAGAGCGCUUCUGCCACCUUCAACUUCAACAGCUGGAAAGUGCGGCUGCGCUCAGAGAUCCAGGGCAAGCUCCUCCACGCGCUGUUGCUCUGUGGUCCCGGAGUGACUGUUGGUGAGCAACAGGCCAGUGCCUCAGGCCGCAGCUCUGUCCUAAGCACCCAGAGCUUAGGGGCCUGGUGGGGCCUUUGGAACUCAGACCUGCCCCUCUCUGUUUCUACGUAUUUUGAAACAGAAGUUUAAUAGUCUUAGUUCUUUUUCCAUCAAGGUGUAACCUAUAACCUGGCCCAUGCUGUUGCACACCUGAAAUCCCAGCACUUGUGAGGUUGAGGCAGGAUCGCCUUGAAUUCGAGGCCAGCCUGAGCUAUACAGUGAGUUCAAAAGCAGCCUUAACUACAUAGCAAGACCCUGUCCCAAAAAAACAAAACAAAAAGAAAGGUAUAAACUCACCCGGCUCAGGGACAGUGGGCUGGUGCCAGGCUGCUGGGCAGCCCAGUGCCAGCUGCAAGCUGCAGGCUGCCGCGGGUGUAGUGAUGUGAGCCGGGUGAGCGCCGUGAUGUGGGCUGGGUGAGGGCUGCUCCCGCUGGACGGCUGGUGGGAGGUAGCCUGCUGGCACCAGGACUUGGACAUCCCAGGAGUCGGCCGGCCCCAGGAAGCCAGGCUUCGCUGAGCAGCUCCCAGCCACUUCCUGCUCCCUGCGCUGCUCCGUGUGGGACACUUCUUCUCCCUGGCCUGUCUUGAC